rnacentral:rRNA from 1 species
GGAUCCAAGCGUUAUCCGGAUUUAUUGGGUUUAAAGGGUGCGUAGGCGGCUUCUUAAGUCAGGGGUGAAAGACGGUGGCUCAACCAUCGCAGUGCCCUUGAUACUGAUGAGCUUGAAUACACUUGAGGUAGGCGGAAUGUGACAAGUAGCGGUGAAAUGCAUAGAUAUGUCACAGAACACCAAUUGCGAAGGCAGCUUACUAAGGUGCAAUUGACGCUGAGGCACGAAAGCGUGGGGAGCAAACAGG